UACGUAGGGUGCGAGCGUUAAUCGGAAUUACUGGGCGUAAAGCGUGGGCAGGCGGUUUUGCAAGCCGGAUGUGAAAUCCCCGGGCUUAACCUGGGAAUGGCAUUUGGGACUGCAAGGCUGGAGUGCGGCAGAGGAGACUGGAAUUCCUGGUGUAGCAGUUAAAUGCGUAGAUAUCAGGAGGAACACCGAUGGCGAAGGCAGGUCUCUGGGCUGACACUGACGCUCAUGCACGAAAGCGUGGGGAGCAAACAGG
rnacentral:rRNA from 1 species